UAAGGUUGUUUUGUUUUCUUCAUGUAAUCGCAUUAUUUGGUGUAGUUCAAAUUCAAUUGUCACUUAUGGCAGAACACUUUGAGUGUUAGAAUCUAACACUGGUAGAUUUUCGUUUUCUCGAUAUUUGUACUGUUAUUAUUUUAUUUGCAAUUGAUUUUUGUCAAAGCCUCGGAAAUAUGGAUGUUUUUGGAACUCAAUCAAAUGAGAAUAUUUUCGCUCGUAAAAAAUAUCGUGUUUACAUGAAAUGUGGCUACAAAUAUGUUCAAUGACAUAUAAUGCAUUAGCUUUCUGAUGGCAUAUUUAUGUUCUGUUAUCUUCCAAACAUCGCUAUUCAAGUUGCAAUCCAUUGGUCAUUUGAU